GGUUCGAUGGCGUAGUUGGUUAUCGCAUCUGUCUAACAAUCUCAGCAGCGAUUCGUAAUCCUUCCUGGUUACGGAUCGUUGCUGUGGGACCACAGAAGGUCGCCAGUUCGAACCUGGCUCGAAUCA
rnacentral:tRNA from 1 species